rnacentral:rRNA from 1 species
GACGAACGCUGGCGGCGUGCUUAACACGUGCAAGUCGAACGGAAAGGCCCUGCUUUUGUGGGGUGCUCGAGUGGCGGACGGGUGAGUAACACGUGAGUAACCUGCCCUUGACUUUGGGAUAACUUCAGGAAACUGGGGCUAAUACCGGAUAGGAGCUCCUGCUGCAUGGUGGGGGUUGGAAAGUUUCGGCGGUUGGGGAUGGACUCGCGGCUUAUCAGCUUGUUGGUGGGGUAGUGGCUUACCAAGGCUUUGACGGGUAGCCGGCCUGAGAGGGUGACCGGCCACAUUGGGACUGAGAUACGGCCCAGACUCCUACGGGAGGCAGCAGUGGGGAAUAUUGCACAAUGGGCGGAAGCCUGAUGCAGCAACGCCGCGUGCGGGAUGACGGCCUUCGGGUUGUAAACCGCUUUCGCCUGUGACGAAGCGUGAGUGACGGUAAUGGGUAAAGAAGCACCGGCUAACUACGU